rnacentral:rRNA from 1 species
AUUGAACGCUGGCGGAAUGCUUUACACAUGCAAGUCGAACGGUAGAGGGGGCAACCCCUCGAGAGUGGCGAACGGGUGAGUAAUAUAUCGGAACGUGCCCAGUCGUGGGGGAUAACGUAGCGAAAGUUACGCUAAUACCGCAUACGAUCUAAGGAUGAAAGCGGGGGAUCGCAAGACCUCGCGCGAUUGGAGCGGCCGAUAUCAGAUUAGGUAGUUGGUGGGGUAAAGGCUCACCAAGCCAACGAUCUGUAGCUGAUCUGAGAGGACGACCAGCCACACUGGAACGGAGACACGGUCCAGACUCCUACGGGAGGCAGCAGUGGGGAAUUUUGGACAAUGGACGCAAGUCUGAUCCAGCCAUUCCGCGUGCAGGAUGAAGGCCCUCGGGUUGUAAACUGCUUUUGUACGGAACGAAAAGGUCUCUCUUAAUACGGGGGGCUCAUGACGGUACCGUAAGAAUAAGCACCGGCUAACUACGUGCCAGCCGCCGCAGUAA